CAAGGCCAAGGAUGGAACCUGUGUCCUCAUGGAUAUGAAUCGGCUUCUCAACCUACUGAGCCACAGUGGGAACUCCUCUUUGGGCUCUUUCUUUGCCUUCCAUGUCAGGGGGCUAGUCUGCAAAUCAAUAGGAUUUAUUCUUGCCUUAUUCUUGAUCUUAGCAGGAGAGCUUCUGGUGUCUCACCAUUAAGUAUAUUAGUUGUAGGUCUUUUGUAGAUGUUCUUUACCAAGUUGAGGAAGUUCUCCUUUAUUCCUAGAUUGCUAAGAAUUUUUGUAAUUAAUGGGUAUUGGAUUUUUGUCAAAUGAUUUUUCUGCAUGUAUUGAUAUGAUCAUGUGGGUUUUUUUUUUUUAUUCUUUAGGCUUUUGAUGUAAUGGAUUACAUUAAUCAAAUUUUCUUUUUUUUUUGGCUGCACCCAUGGCUUGUGGCAGUUCCCUGGCCCGGGAUCAAACCCACACUGCAGUUGUGACCUACACCACAACUGCAGCAACACUGUGAACGUUUGAGCUCUGAGUUUCUCAACUUUGACAUUUUGGACUAGGUAAUACUUCUUUGUGGGGACUAUCCUGUACAUUGUAGGAUGUUUAGCAGCACCCUGUCCAGUAGCAUGCCACAAGUCAUGACAAUCAAAAUGUCUUUAAAAAGGGGGGGAGUUCCUUGGUGGACUAAGGGAUAGGACUCAGUGCUUUCACUGUUGCAGGCAAGGUUCGAUUCCUGGUCUGGGAACUGUGAUUCCCGUAUUAAGCGGACGCAUGCCCUGGCCUUCCCUCCCCCACAAAAAAAAAAAAGUCUUCAGAUAUUUCCAAAUAUCCCCUGGGAGCAAAACAGUCCCUGUUGAGAAUCAAUGUUUUAGUUAAACCAGUGUACAGUAUAGUUAUCUUUGAUUCUUGUCUCAUUUUGAGCCAAAAGUUAUGUAUAUCAUUAUAAUUAAUAUAUCAGUAUAACUUUUACUUGUUUCCAAGAGAAGAAACAUCACCUCUUUCCCCCCCACACACACUUCUCACUAGCAAUGGGAUUGAUGUUGUCAUAUGACUAGUAGGCAGUCAGGUUCCAAAAUUCCAUCCUGAGGACUGCUUUCUGGGGCCACACUUGGUACCAACAUGCCUUAGUGUGGGCCCUUUAUCUCCUAUGAACACUUUAUUGGCAAGUGUGAGAGCAAGGAUCAGGAGUGAAGGGCAGGAAUUGUAAAGCAGGGAAGGAAGGAGAGCCAUUGCAAGGAUGCAUGAUCAAAUUAGCCACUUCCGAAGGCCUUCAAUUUUUUGAUCCCGCAAGACAGUCUGAAAGCUGAAUGAGAUAGAGGGGAAAAAGAGAGAAGCAUGUAUUCAUCAGCUGUUGACUUCAUUGGUCAAGGAGGUGUCCCAUGAGGCAUUAACCACUUCCCACUCCUGCACUUCUGGGUUGCACCUGUCCUGGGGCCGAACCAUUCCUCCAGUCCUGGGACCCCUAAAUCAAGACACAAGCCCUGAUGCAGAAAGAAAAUGAGACGCCUGAGGGUUGGACUUGAGGUGAGCUCACUUGAGCUAUACCUGCUGAAGCCAGAGUAAGAUUGGUGGGGGUGAAAUAAGCAGCAGUGAAGCCAAGAUGAUCUGGCAGGGGGCAUAAGAAGUCUUUGAUACACUUACGUGCCUGAAUUCCUGGUACAUAUUCAACCAAAGUACCCUGGUACAUAUUCAUUCCUGGUACAUAUUCAACCAGAACACCCUGCACAUACACUAACCUCAGCCUUUUAAUCUGUAAAAGGAGGAUCACCACCUCAAGCUUGCUGGAUUUUUCUGUGAAUUAGAGAUUCUGCCUGUAUAAAGCCUGAUUAUGGUGUCAAUGCAAUAAAGACACUCUGCGUGUAUAUGUGUAUAACCAAGAGUCAGAUGUCAUUCCAGCCGAACAUAAGGGCCCAGUGUGAUGAGGCCAAAGUCACAGUUUCCACCUUUUGUGGGGAGCGAAUUUGGCUUAUGCUGCUUAGACAGCCAGAACUUGAUCACUUUACAGUUAGCCUUCAGUGAGCUACUAUUCUGUGCCCAACCCUGGAACAGCCCUGGGGACCGGGAGACCAGGUUCAUUCCCGAUCCUUAUCCUCAAAGCACUCACAGGCUGGCAGAGAUGGGCAAACAAUAACCACUACCUUGGUAGAAGCAAGCACAGGGGACAAUGGGCGCAAAAGAAGUCCUGGGAGUUGAAGUCAGGCUUUCCCUAGGAGGAAGAAGUGGUACUGAAAUCUGGAAGGAUGUGUAGGUGUUAAGCCAAGAUUGAAAGCUGAGCAAAAAUGUUUCUCAUCUACUCAGUGCAACUCAGUCGUUUACUGGGGCCCUGCCAUAGUCAAGGUGGUGUCAGAUGCCAUAAGGGGACACAGGGGUGAGUGAGGCCAGUCCCUACUGUGCCCCCAGCCCUCGACCGGGGCAUAAUUUAUACCUGCUGAAGCCAGGCUAAGAUUAGUGGUGGUGAAAUAAGCGGCAGGUAAAGCCAAGAGGCUCUGUCUCGUAGGAGUGAAGGAAAAAUUACAUUUAGCCGGGUAUCUCUAUUAACAGACAACAUCCUGCCCUGGCUCACUCAUUCUCAAACUCAGAAAGUAAUGGCUCUUAUUCACUGGUUAAAUUUUAUGGCCAAAAAAACAAUGGGGGGAUUGAAGACUUUUUUUUUAUUUUUCGCCAUCGUCUUUCCUUAUGCGUUUUUGUUUCUUGUUUUUUGUUUUAGGCCGCGCCCACGGCAUAUGGAAGUUGCAGGCCAGGGGUGGAAUGGGAGCCACAGCUGCGGGCCUAGGCCACAGCUCCCGGAAACGUCUGAUCCUUAGCCCAGCGAUGGAACCCUCCAACUCAUGGUUCCUAGUCAGAUUCGUUUCUGCUGCACCACAACGGGGAACUCCUUAAGCUAUUUUAAAUUUCACUAAAAAAGAGGAUAAAACAAACAUAAAGUAAACCCCACUCUCCAGAGAUUUCUCUGCUCCGCCCCCGGAGCGAGUCGAACUGUGGCAGACCCCGUAAAUGUCUGUGAAUGAGUGAUCCAGGGCAGGAGGUUGUCUGUUAAUAGAGAUACCCCGCUAAAUGUAAUUUUUCCUUCACUCUCGCGUGACAGCCCCUUGGCUUUACCUGGGUCUCUUUAAGAGCCCGAGCCUCGCGGUUCGGAGGGGUGGCGGAGGGAGCGAGCUCUGGAUGCUGCUGCCCGCUGAGGUCUCCGGAAGCAGCGUCCCCCGGAGCUGCUGUCUCUUUAAGGAGGCGGGGCUCUGCCCGGAGGAGGCAGAGAAGUUCUGCCCCCCGGAUCUCCGGUUUCCGGCCACUCGGCGGGACCAGGACCUGAGCGUGAAUCUGAGGCCGGAGGCUUCCCGGGACCCGCUGGGCGUCGAGCCCCCCUCCCCGAGAUGAGGAAACUGAGGCAUCCCCGCCCCCCGCCAGAAGCCCGCAGUUGAACAGCGAGAAGCAGCAGAAUUGAGAAUGAAACCCAGACAUCCACAAAUUUUCUUCCCACUAAUUGGGAGAAGACCCAUUGGCUGAAUGGCAGCUGUAGAUGACUUGCAGUUUGAAGAAUUUGCUGAUUCAGCCACUUCUCUAGCAGCAAACCCAGAUGCCACCACGAUCAGCAUUGAGGAUACUGGUGAAACCCCCAAACAUCAGUCAGGACCCUCAAGAGGCUCAGGGAGAGAAGAGGAUGAUGAACUACUAGGAAAUGAUGACUCGGACAAAACUGAGUUACUUGCUGGACAGAAGAAAAGCUCCCCCUUCUGGACAUUUGAGUACUAUCAAACAUUCUUUGAUGUAGACACUUACCAGGUCUUUGACAGAAUAAAAGGGUCUCUUCUACCAAUACCAGGAAAAAACUUUGUGAGGUUAUAUAUCCGCAGCAAUCCAGAUCUCUAUGGUAUGUGUAGUGCCAUUCUGAUUCUUUUCCCUGUACCAGCUCAACUCAGGUGAGUGUGUGGUUUGCCUGGAAAGCUGGUGAAGUGCACUGCUGGCGGGGCGUGUGGCAUUUUGUUGGACCCUUCUGAGCUUCAGUAGCAGUCCUGCUACUGAAUUUGGGGAGCAGAUGCAAUUAUAUGUUAUAUUAAUGCCCUGAUGACAAGUAACAUAAUGUCCUUUGGAAGUCUUCACAUGACAUUACAAACUGGAGACAAAUGAAGUCACUUUGUAUAAGAAGAGAUUAUUUUAUUUUAUUUUAUUAUUUAUUUUUCAUUUUUUGACCAUGCCUAUGGCAUGGAGAAGUUCCCGGGCCAGGGAUUGAACCCGGGCCACAGCUGUAGCCCAAGCCACAGCAAUGACGCCAGGUCCUUAAUCCACCACACCACCAGGGAAGUCCAGAUAUUUUUUAAAGACACUUUUUUUUUUUUGGGCCAGACACAUGGCAUGCAGACGUUUCCAGGCCAGGGAUCAAACCUGCACCAUAACAGUGAACCUGAGCCAGAGCAGUGACAACACCAGAUCCUUAACCUCCUGCUCCACCAAGGAACCCCUAUUAAUUUUAAUUUUAGAGGGUUUGGUGGUGGGGGUGAGUGUGGAGAAGGUACUUUCACCCUUACUCAUUGGUGUGCUAAGCUCAGGCUCUGUCUCAGACAGGCUGGCUUCCCCGAGAACGGCUGGAGGAGGACGGGCCAGGGGAUAACUGUCUAUCCAACCUCCCUGCUCUUGGAGAAAGGGUCAGAGGUCUACCGGGUGCUCUGGAGGGAAGGGGCUGCAACCAUGGUGGCCUGUGUGUUUGAGGGAGAGAGACGAGGUGGCUCUGAGUGCUUCUGGGUGCAGGAGUUUUGCAGAAGACUUGGUGUACACGGGCCCAUUUAAUUCCUGCAACAAGCUUUGGCGUAGCUGUUUAUUAUUCCCAUUUUUCAAAUGAGGAAGCUAAUACUCACUGGGGUUCAGUAAUAUAUGGACUCAAUCCUGAACAUAAAGUAUUGGAGUAAUUGUACUUGUUGUUUAUAGGAGGAAAGGGAAUUCAAGAGGAUUUUUGGGCGCCACUCGUGACAUAAGCUCUUUAACCCUUUCAGCAAGGCUAGAUAUCAAGUGCUGUUAUUAUCCUUGUCUGCCAUGCGAGGAGACUGAUGCUGGGAGUUGUCACUAAAAAGCUAGAACACCCAGUUGCAAUAAUGUGGAUGAACCUGGAGGGUGUUUUGCUUGGUGAAAUAUGUCAGACAGAGAAAGACAAAUGCUGUGCGAUAUUACUUAUAUGUGGAAUCUAAAAACCAAAACAAACUAGUGAGUGUAACAGAAAAGAAAUAGACUCACAAAUAGAACAAACUAGUGGCUACCAGUGGGGAGAGGAAAGGGAGGGUGGAGCCCAAAUAGGGACAAGGGAUUAAGAGGUACAAACUACCUAAAAUAAAGUUUUAUACAAAUACAACUUUUUUAUAUAAAAAACUUUUUUUUUUUUUAAGGGCCACAUCCAUGGCAUAUGGAAAUUCCCAGGCGAGGAGUCAAAUCGGAGUUAUAGCUGCCGGUCUACACCACAGCCACGGCAACAUGGGAUCCGAGCCCACCUACCACACCUAUGAUCUACUCACAGCUCAUGGCAACGCCAGAUCCUUAACCCACUGAGCGAGACCAGGGAUCAAACCCGCAUCCUCAUGGAUCCCAGUCGGGUUUGUUAACCGAUAAACCACGAAGGGAACUCCUAGAAAACUUUUUUUUAUAUAAACACUUUUUUUAUAUAAAUAAAGCUAGAAGUUCCCAUUGUGGUGCAUUGGAAACGAUUCCGACUAGUAUCCAUGAGAACAUGGGUUUAAUCCCUGGCCUCGAUCGGUGGGUUGGGGAUCCGGCAUUGCUGUGGGCUGUGGUGUAGGCCGCAGACACAGCUCAGAUCCUGUGUUGCUGUGGCUCUGGCAUAGCCUGGCAGCUGCAGCUCCAAUUCAUCCCCUAGCCUGGGAACUUCCAACUCUCGCUGGUGUGGCCCUAAAAAAGCAAAAAAUAAAAAGUAAAUUAAAAUAAAUUAAAUCUGCUAUAAGGAUAUGAUAUGCAGCACAAGGAAUAUUGAUAAUAUUUACAAUAAUAUAAAUGGAAUAUAAUCUUUAAAAAUUGUGAACACUGUGUUGCACACUGGAAACAUACAAUAUUGUAAGUCACCUAUGCCUCAAUUAAAAUGUAAAAGUAGAACUAGCACCCAGUUUAGUGUUCUAUAAAGGCCCUAUUUAUUCUAUUAGCCUGGUGUUUUUAAGCUGCAGAACCUUUUCAUCAAAUGUCCUGGAUAUCCAAUGUCUAAACUAAUAAAAGGGGAAAUGCUCUGGUGGAGGUUGAGGAAAGUCUUCCCUCCGCUUAGGUGCCUCUCUCAAGGACAUUACCAGAAGUUCCAUCCAGGUGUCGUUUGGAAUUCCUGGAGCUCCAGUGACAUGAUGUGAAAACCACUGCCUUGGCCCAUGCCUCUCAACUAAAGGCUGCCAAGGCUGGGUCUCUUUUUAGCUCUCUAAUUCAUUCUUACUUCGAGCUUGAGAACUUCUUGAGAAGUAGGCUUUGUGUUUGAGGAAUCCUCAGUGCCUGGCAGAAGGCGUAGCACAGAAUAGAUGCUCAAACAAGUUUUGAGUCCUCCGUUGUGUGCUAGAGGCUGAGGAUUCAAAGAUAAAGUCGUGAUCUCUACCCCGAAGAAGAAAGGAGAGAGGGAACCAGUGUCUGCUGAGCACCUAACGGGAGCCACACGUGGAGCUCAGCACUGUUUUGCUAUGCUACACCGUUUUAUUUCUCGCUCUCCAAGGUAGCCUUAUCUUACCAAAGAGAAAACCUAACGUUUGGGGAGGAUAGUUUGCCCGUCGUGAGUUUGCCCAUAGAGUUCGCAAUAACCAUAGCAAUAAUAGCAAACACACAAGGUAUGCUUGUUAUGUGCCAGACACUGUUCUUAGGGAACACUGCACUAGCUCUGGAAUCCUCAUAACAACCCCAGCUUUAUGAGAUAGGUGCUGUUACUAUCCCCUGAGGAUCCCAAGUCCCACGAAGUCAAGCCACAAGCCUAAGAUCACACAGCUGAUGAGUGGUGGAGCUCGGUAUUCCAAUCAGCACCUCAGCUUCUGAUCCAUACUCUUCGUCGCUGUGUUAGGCUGUCUCUCAUGACAAGGUCAGGGUUUGAACCCUGGGCUUUCUUCUUUCCAUGACACUAUUAGCCUCAUGAGCACAUAAGCAUAGGGCUAAAAGAAGGCCUAACAUCAGAGGAGUGUUUUCUAGCAGAGGGGCCUGGGCCUUGCAGGGCUGGUUGGGGAAAGGCGGUCGGGAAUGAGAUGACAGAAGAGCCAGACUGCAGAAUCUGAGGGAGAGAUUAAUGAAUUGGACGAUGUUAAAACACAUUUUAAAUUUCUACAGCACAAAAUAAACCAUAAGCAAAGUAAAAACAAAACACAAACCGAAAAACCCCCAUAGACCAGAGAUAAUAUUUCAAUGCGGAUAACCCACAAAGGAUGAAAAGCAAGAAUACAGGUAAGGUGCCUACUGAUGUUAAGAAUAAAACCAGGAGUUCCUGUUGUGGCUCAGCGGUAAUGAAUCCUACUAGUAUCCAUGAGGACACAGGUUCGAUCCUUGGCCUUACUCAGUGGGUUAGGAUCCGGCAAGGCUGUGAGCUGUGGUGUAGGUCGCAGAUGUGGCUCAGAUCCCGUGUUGCUGUGACGGUGGCAUAGGCUGACAGCUGCAGCCCCGAUUUGACCCCUAACCUGGGAACCUCCAUAUGCCACAGGUGUGGCCCUAAAAAGCAAAAAAUAAAAUAAAAUAAAACCAAUUAUAAGUUCUAGGGAAACAUGAGCAAUUCACAGAAAAGGAAACCCAAAUGGCCAAUAAAUACAUGAAAAUAUGCUUAGCCCCACCUGCAAUCAGGGAAAUAAAAACUAAAACGUCAUAGUAAACCUAGACAAGUUGGCUUGUCUUCAUUCAUUUAAUUAAUGCAACAAACAUGGAGCACUUACUCUUUUAGGAAGUGGAGAGGCAACAGUAAAUAGACAAAAAUCCCUGCCCCGAGGCAGUUUAUAGUCUGAGUUUAACAAUAGACAAAGAAAAUGGGUAGUAUAUAUGGUGUGCUAGUGAUAAUGCUAAAGAGAAAAUUUAAAAGCAGAGAAGAAAGAGUCAAUGUGUAGGUGGGUGGGUUUGAAAUUUAAAAGGCGAAUGUUGAGUGACUCCCUGAAGGAGCAACGUGGGGAGCCCUCUCUUGGAAGAGCAUUCCAAACAGCUCAGCACGUGCAGAGGCCCUGAGGCAGGAACCUGCUCAAAGGACAGCGAAGAGACCAGUGUGACCGAGCCGGAGUGAACAAGGGCAUCUAGCAGGCCCCUUUUGGAUAUGUGCCACACUGGUCUUUGCCAUAGCAAUUAGUGGGAAUCUUUCCAACUUCUUAAUCCAUCUGGGAGAGAAAACGUACCAUUAUGUGCCUGAAUUCCGAAAAGUGUCCAUUGCGGCCACAAUCAUCUACGCCUACGCCUGGCUGGUCCCCCUCGCUCUCUGGGGUUUCCUCGUGUGGAGAAACAGCAAAGUGAUGAACAUCGUUUCCUACUCGUUUUUGGAGAUCGUGUGCGUCUACGGGUACUCGCUCUUCAUUUACAUUCCCACGGCGAUACUGUGGAUCAUCCCCCAGAAAGCUGUCCGCUGGAUUCUCGUCACGAUUGCCCUGGGCAUCUCGGGCUCUGUCUUGGCAAUGACAUUUUGGCCAGCUGUUCGUGAGGACAACCGACGCAUCGCGUUGGCCACUAUUGUGACAAUUGUGCUGCUUCACAUGCUACUCUCUGUGGGCUGCUUGGCCUACUUUUUUGAUGCACCAGAGAUGGACCAUCUCCCACCAGCCACCGCAGCUCCAAACCAAACAGUUGCAGCAGUCAAGUCCAGCUAAAGAGGAAAGGGAGCGAUUGUAUUUGCAUCUCCUCGCGGUGAGUUCUCUUUGACGGUUUGCGGAGUGUGGUUCUUUUGGACAUGGCAUCCACUGCAGGAAAGCAGAGUGACCAAAGGCAGCAGGAACACUGAUGGCGUGGCCCCAACCCCCGAUAUCAGGAUAGUGCUGCCCUGAAGCCUGAAUCACCUAUUUAAUAAACAAAUUAAAUGUGGUUGAGCAUA